UUAACACAAAUUUGUAUGGAGUUGGAACGUUUGCCUACGGCUGCCGCUAGGGGCGCUGUUCCAACUGCAUUCAAAUUUGAGUUA
rfam:Bombyx mori DNA, contig: Bm_scaf17_contig12466, strain: p50T/Dazao, build 2, whole genome shotgun sequence.